CCUACGGGUGGCAGCAGUGGGGAAUAUUGCACAAUGGGGGAAACCCUGAUGCAGCGACGCCGCGUGAGGGAAGAAGUAUUUCGUUAUGUAAAGCUCUAUCAGCAGGGAAGAAAAUGACGGUACCUGAGUAAUAAGCACCGGCUAACUACGUGCCAGCAGCCGCGGUAAUACGGAGGGGGCAAGCGUUAUCCGGAUUUACUGGGUGUAAAGGGCGCGUAGACGGCAGUGCAAGUCUGAAGUGAAAGGCGGGGGCUUAACCCCAGGACUGCACUGGAAACUGUACGGCUAGAGUGCGGGAGAGGUAAGUGGAAUUCCUGGUGUAGCGGUGAAAUGCGUAGAUAUUAAGAGGAACACCAGUGGCGAAGGCGGCUUGCUGGACUGUAACUGACGUUGAGGCUCGAAAGCGUGGGGAGCAAACAGGAUUAGAUACCCUUGUAGUC
rnacentral:rRNA from 1 species